UUAGGAGAGGGAUGCUACUGUUGGUGGUGCAAUCAGGUCAUGAAGGCCAUUGCAGAAGCCAUCAGCUCAGGAGUCAUCCAUGCCAACAGAACCUGUCCCACCAAGAACGCCAUCACCUGUUGAGCAUUCCUCGUCCCCCAGUUAAAACAGCAGCAAUACUGCUCUCUGAAAGAGACUGGCAGAUAUUGGUAGACCUUGAGCAGCAGCUGAAGUUCCCUGGUCACAUUGCAAUGAUCACCUUGACAUUUUCCUGCUGUCUGAGUCCACAAAAAGAUGGUCCUGCUGGAUCUCACAGUCUUUUGGGAAGACCUUGUGGAAGAGCUCUUUGAAAGAAAACUUCCGAUGCUCUGGUCAGCAACUGCCAGAAGGGAGGCUGGAGGGCAAGGUGCUUUCCAAUAAAGGUCAGAUGCUGCAUCUCAUCUCUGUCCAGAGCCCCAUGCAUCGUGGGUGUGGAUAAGCAAAGAAUCAUCUGUAAUAUCACUGAAGCAGAGGCAGUCUCAUGAUGGCUAAAGAGAGGAGAGCCAUGAGGACUGUAGUGAGCCACCUGCUCACAAGCUGGGGUCUGAUCACAGCUGGGUCACCUGGAGGAGAGUGUAUGAAGAUAAAAGACCCAAAUCACCUAAGGGUUGCAAGGAGUCUGGAUCUUAUCCCUGGGAACAACCUGGACGGGGUGCCAACCCAUCACAAGGCACAAUCACACACUACAG
ensembl:lncRNA